UAGUCCGCACAGUAAACGAUGAAUACUCGCUGUUGGCGAUACACAGUCAGCGGCCAAGCGAAAGCAUUAAGUAUUCCACCUGGGGAGUACGCCGGCAACGGUGAAACUCAAAGGAAUUGACGGGGGCCCGCACAAGCGGAGGAACAUGUGGUUUAAUUCGAUGAUACGCGAGGAACCUUACCCGGGCUUGAAUUGCUUCUGAAUAAUCUGGAAACAGGUUAGCCGCAAGGCAGAAGUGA
rnacentral:rRNA from 1 species